UCCUGCGUGCGUUCUUGCUGG
rnacentral:misc_RNA from 1 species